rnacentral:rRNA from 1 species
AGAGCGAACGCUGGCGGCAGGCCUAACACAUGCAAGUCGAGCGGCCGUAGCAAUACGGCAGCGGCAGACGGGAGAGUAACACGUGGGAACGCGCCCUUCGGUUCGGAAUAACUCAGGGAAACUUGGGCUAAUACCGGAUACGCCCUUACGGGGAAAGAUUUAUUGCCGAAGGAACGGCCCGCGUCCGAUUAGCUUGUUGGUGAGGUAACGGCUCACCAAGGCGACGAUCGGUAGCUGGUCUGAGAGGAUGACCAGCCUCACUGGGACUGAGACACGGCCCAGACUCCUACGGGAGGCAGCAGUGGGGAAUAUUGGACAAUGGGCGCAAGCCUGAUCCAGCCAUGCCGCGUGGGUGAUGAAGGCCCUAGGGUUGUAAAGCCCUUUCGGCGGGAAGAUAAUGACGGUACCCGCAGAAGAAGCCCCGGCUAACUUCGCGCCAGCAGCCGC